rnacentral:lncRNA from 1 species
AACAUUUUCCCUCAAAAGACAAAUACACCUCAAUCUAAAGUCACUUUAAUUUCCUCUUUGGCUUAUAUGUACCACUAAUAAAUAUACCCCCACAAAUUAAUAUCUCUCAAACACAUUCACAAAAAAUAUGGACAUGGAAAUUGAGCAAGAGGGCAACUACAAUAAGCCUAAGAAACUCAAGAAUUUCAUGUCAAUUAAAACACUUCUUAUUCUCAUAUAUUGUAUCUUCCUUUUAGUUGGCCAAAUAUCAGGUGUAUUGCUUGUUAGAAUUUAUUAUUUACAUGGUGGAAAAAGAAAAUGGUUGCAAUCUUUAUUGCUAACAGCAGGAUUCCCAAUCUUGAUUUUACCAAUUUCAAUUUCUUAUAUGAAAAAAAUGAAAAAAAUUACUAUCAACAAUAAUAAUAUUAGACUUUUUGUCACACCUAAAUUAGCAAUAUUUAGUGCUAUUUUAGGUAUCCUUUUUGGUAUUUGUAGCUACCUCUACACUAUUGGCAUGUCAUAUCUUCCCGUUUCGAUUUCCUCUCUCCUCUCUUCAACGUCCCUUGCAUUUACCGCGAUUUUCGCGUAUUUCAUGGUAAAACAUAAGUUCACACAUUAUUCGGUGAACGCGGUGGUCUUGAUGAUGCUAGGUUCGAUUAUAUUAGGGUUGCACAUGAAUGGAGAUCGUCCGAUAGGUGAAUCGAAUCGGCAAUACACGUUAGGGUUUGUGAUGACAAUUAUUGGUGCUGCUCUUCAUGGAUUUUUAAAUGCAGGAGUUGAGUAUAGUCAUGUUAAAGCUGGAGUUGUUGUCACCUUUGAUCUUGUCAUGCAAAUACAGUUUCUUAUAUCCAUGUUCUCAUCUUUGUUUUGUAUCGUUGCCAUAAUUAUCAACAGAGAUUUUCAGGUAAUCGUCUCAUUCAAAAGUUUAAGCAGUUAAAAAAGAAUUAUAGAUAGUCAUAGUAACGUACGUACGAUAUCCAUUUUAUUUUAGCUUUUUACUUAUAUAAACUAGUAAAUAAGAAGUAUAUAUAAAUUUUAUAUUACUGGUGUAAUUUAAUCUACUAUAACAUGUUAUUUAUCUUAUAUGAGAAAUUAAAUAGUCUAGCAAAGGAAACAUUAUAUUACAAUUUUAAAAAUAGAUAAAAGAAUUUAAAUUCAUAAAAAUCGUGAAAAAAAUAAUAUAAUUGAUUUGUUCUGUUUUAUGCGAUAUAGUUUGAAUUGACCAUGAUGACAAAACUUACCAAAGAAAUGAAGAUUUCUAAAAGGAAAAAAGAAGAAAGAAUUCGAGUUAACAAUGACAUGAACUUUCUUUCUCUUUAUAAGAGUGAAAAAAAGCCUCCUUUUCAAAAGAUAAUCAAGCAGCGUCAAUGACAAGAACUUUUUUAUUUACAAGAGUGAAAAUGAAAUUUUAUGUUAUUAUAAAGGGGAUAUGUUCAAGCGUGAGCGAUUUAUCUUUCUUUUUAGUCCGUUUAUACAAAAUAUCUUCUUCUCUAUAUUUAAUAAUUCUUUAAUAUCUAAUAUUUUACAUGAUUUUUUAAAAAUCAUAAGAUUUAAAGGGCAUUUUUGAUACAUUACAUAUAUGCCUGCAUCUUUAAUUUAAGACUACAAAAUUAAAAGAUCUCUUUUUCAUUUUCUAAAACUUCAUGCAUAGUCAAACUACGACACUUAAAUUAGCAUCGAGAAAGUACUUUUUCUUUAAGAGUUUAAGAUAUAUACGUCGUCCAUAUAAAUCAUAUGCACACAACACAUCAGAUUCUCUUCACAUGUUAUAGCAGGUAACCUGCUAUUUUAUUUGCAUGCAAGAUUACAAAUCUCAUAUCUUAAGGAUGUCUGCCGAUCUAUAAAUAUUCUUUGAAUAACCUGACAGUGUAAGAAAAUCUUUUUAACAAUAUGUAGGCCAUCACUAGAGAAGCUGAAGAAUUUGGAUUAGGGCAAAAAAAGUACUAUAUGAUAUUAGCAUUAACAGCAAUAUCUCUACAAACUAUGAUGAUUGGAAGUCUUGGGAUGAUUUUCUGCUCCUCAGCACUAUUGUUUGGGAUAGUAAAUGCACUUCUAAUUCCAAUACAACAAAUAUUUGCUGUCAUUUUCUUGCCUGAAAGCUUCAAUUCUGACAAGUGGAUGGCUUUAGCUAUGUGUCUUUGGGGUUUUGCUUCUUAUUUCUAUGGAGAAUAUAAAGAUAGCAUGACCAACAAGGUUACAAAAAAUAAACAUGCUACCCUGCCAGACCAAGUUUGAAUAACAUUAAUGUUACUUUUUCUGUAUGUAUUCAGUGAUGUACGCAUAAUUUAAUGUAUGUAAUAUAUUAGUAUUACAACUCUGGCAGUAUGAGAAUUUGGGUCGUCUUGGAUCGUGGAGUUCUUAUAAGACGUUUAUUUUUCGAUUGUAAAUUGAUGCAUGUUUAUUUUGAUUACUUUUUAAGCGAUGUCAGUAUGUUGAGUAUUUAUAGUAGCGGAGCCAGGAAUUUUUUAAAAAAAAUUUAUGCCAAGAAAAUUUAACAACUUAUAUAUUAUUUGCAAAAAGAUAACAAAUAAAUCAUCUUUACCCUAUUUAAAUGCAUAGUACAAUUUUUCAACUUCGACCCCUUUGCCUCUGCCCGGUAUGUGAAUAUAUGUUAUGUACAUGUAUAUAUAUAUUAUCGAAGGCGGAGCUACAGUAUUAGAUACUAUACUAAAACAUAGUACUAGCUAGUUUCAUUUUUAUUUCUAACUUGGUCAUCAAAUGUUUUAUGUAUUGCUUUAGUUCAAGCAACAAAUUGUAUUUCAUGCUCUUUAUUCGUUACAUGAUUUCUUCUUUGUAUAGAUAUAUAUAUAGAAUCUAUGAAGUAUAUUUUGUGCUAUAGCCCCUCCUAUCUGAUAGAAAAGGAUCCCAUAAUCCUGAACCGAUCUUAUAUGGGGUUAUAAAUCCCAAGUUUGUCUAUGAAGAGAGGAUCUAAUUGUAUUAGUGUCUAUAAAUGAUUUCUUCUGUGUAAUAUAUACUAAUUGAUAAGACCUCAUUGAUAAGUGUAUAUUUUAUAAAUAAUUAUAUACUAUAUCAAUAAUCCCUCUGUCCCAUGUUAGAUGAUGGUCAUCUUACUGAAAAUAUUUGUCUCAUAUUACUUGAUCACUUACUAAAUAAAAAUAAAAUUAAUAAAAUUUUCUCGUUUUACCCCUAUAAUUAAUAUGACUUUUGGAAGUUUAAACAAAUUUUAAAGAUCUAAUUUUUUAAGAGUCUAAUUAAUAUGAACAAAGGACAAAAUAGUAAAAUUGAUCAAUCUAUUAUUGAUUUCUUAAUCACCAUGUUAAAUAGAAAUCGUUCAUCUAAUAUAAAACAAAUGGAAUAUUAUAUAAAUAUAAUGUAUAACCAAAUAUAUAUGAUGUAUAAUUAAUAAAUUAUGUAUUGCUGAUGUAUAUAUACAUCCAUCCUGGUUUUUUUAAAAAAUAUUUAUCACCAUAUGGUGGUGAGACCUCUAUAUUGAUGAAUAAAAUUGUCAAGCUAAGGAGAGCUUAAGCUCGAUCCAUUGUUCCAGUAAUUGCUUAGCAAAAACUAAGAUUCUGAUAAAGACUAUAUUCAAGUUUCAACAGUUAGGGCUUUUGGCCCUAAUUUCUUUUAUUCAUUUAUAUAUUUCUAUUAUUUUCUUUUUCUAUUAUUAUUAGCAACAAAAUAAUCCUUUAUUAAAUCUGAAAAUCGUGUCUCUUAUUCUUAUAAGCCAUAAAUUAUUUAUAAAAGCUACCAAAAAGGGUUAAUAUAAAAAUAAGGGAAAGGGGUCAAAAAUACCCCUCAACUUUGGUUUAUUGUUUGACUACGCCCUCGCCGUUAAAAUGAAGUUAUUUUUACCCCUCCCGUUACUAAUUUCACCAAAUUUACCCCUCAAUUGGAUGGAAAACCCAAAUCAAUUAAAAUUACCCAAUUUCAAUUAAAUAACCCAAUUUUUUCUCUUUUUAAUCCAAACCCGACCCAUUUAUACCAAAUUAAACCCCCAAAUCAAGCUCCGGCAAUCGCCAUUCAUUUUCUCCGUUUUCCGGCGAAACACCACCAAAACAACCUCCAAACGACCACCUGAAACCACCACUAAAAACCCCCAAGAACCAGAAACGACAUCAAGCAAAAAACAUUAACAACAAACCCAUUUUCCUCUACUUUCCAUUGACGACAACAAGAUCUUUCUUCUCCAUUUCCGGCCAGUUUCAAGCUGGAACAACAUUAAGCAAAUUACCCACCGUCGGAAUCAUUCAAACAGCCGUGAAACCGACCUGAAACAGCUCUCAAACACCACUCUCUCCACGCCAAAAUCGUAACAGAUCAAACCAACAACACAAUCAGGCGAGAAUCAAGGCUCGAAAACAACAGCCACAACUUCAUAUCUGGCUAGGCUCAACAAGCAAGCAAUAUCAUAGUUUCAGAUCUGCCCGCAGGAAAGCAAAAUCCGAUGAUUGAACGAGCUCCAAGCUCCGAAUAGUGGUGCAAUUUUAGUAGGAAGGACAAAUAUGCAUUAGUUUAACUACAAAAUAUUUGUUGUCAAUUUUAGUAGUAUGUGUUUCAAUGGAAGAAGGAGAUGGAGAAGAUUAGAGAGAUGGGUUUAGGGUUCUAAUUUGAUAUAAAUGGGUCGGUUUGGAUUAAAAGAGAAAAUCGGGUCAUUUACUUGAAAUUGGGUAAUUUUAGUUGAUUUGGAUUUUUCAUCCAAUUGAGGGCAAAGGGUCAAAAAUACCCCUCAACUUUGGUUUAUUGUUUGACUACGCCCUCGCCGUUAAAAUGAAGUUAUUUUUACCCCUCCCGUUACUAAUUUCACCAAAUUUACCCCUCAAUUGGAUGGAAAACCCCAAAUUGACUCAGUUUAACCCAAAUUUUAAAAAAAGACCCAUUCCCCAUUUUAAACCCAAUGCCCGACCCAUCCAAAGUUGAGGGGUAUUUUUGACCCUUUUCCCUAAAAAUAAUGGUUAAAAUUAUAAAACGACUAAGAGGGUCGUUACAAUCUAUAUUUUAAUGUUUGUUCUAUUAUAAUUAAUAUUUAUCUAACACGUAUUUAACUUAUCAGAUUGAAUGCUUAUUUACCUUUUUAAACCCAUUUUGUCAGCCUUAUCUUAUAAACUUUGUUUUCUCUAAAAAGAACAAAAUAAAGAGAGAAAGAUAAGAACGUAAUGUUAUGUCGAUAUACAGAUUGUUAUUGUCUUUCAUGUGCUUUAAUAAUUGGAAAAAAUUACGUAAUUACAUGAUUUUAGAUACCAUAAUUUUUGAAAAUUUCUACCAUUUGAAUUAAUUAUAAAACUUCUAUUUUUCCUUCUCUCUUUUAAUAUUCGGAUACAAUACUCUGCCUCUAUAUACAUUACAACUUUGUUUUUGUACAAUAUAUUUCACACAAAUAUUAUUGUCGAUACAUAACUUCAAUCAUUUUAAAUCUAAAUCAGUAUGAAUUUGAUUUAUAGUUAUGUAUCUGAUACAUAACUUAUAUAUCGUUUGCUAUAUAUCGAACUGAUGAGUAAUGUAUCCGCAAGUUUUGAAAAUUUCGAGAUUAUUGUAAUUUGAGAAAUUUUUGUGAUAGAAUGUAAUUAACACCAUUGUUGGGGUUUAUGUACUUCAUACCUAAUAAUUUCAAACAUGACUUGGCUUGUUUCAAUUUUGAAUAAUCUCGUUUUCUUUUCACCAACAAAAGUUAGAAAUCAAAUUAAAAACAAAACUUUUUGUUUGAAUAUUCCAAAUAUGUAUGAAGAAGUUGUCACCAAGCUAAGAUUGCUAAGUGCGCACCAGCGUCAAUUAUGCAUGUUAUGUACGUUUGAAUAUAAUUUUUUUUAUUUAAUCAUGACUAAAUUAACAUAUGUUUUUACUUUAUUAAAUCACUUGCUCAUGAUGAGUUGUAUUAUCGUCUAUAUAUUAUUUACUUAUCCUAAAUUUAAUUAGUUUUCAAAUGAUGGUUGGUUUACAAUCAACAACCGUAAAAGUGGCUAUUUGUUAAAAUUAUCCAAAAUGCGUAAAGCCCAGAAACUAAGAGCAUUAUAACAUGAAGUUUACAAUCAUAGAGGCCCAAAAUCAGGAUUCUAAUGGGCCACGGCCCAUAUAAAUGGUGGAUAAGCCCAAAUAGUUAAGAGGGGUGGAUGAACACAAUUUUAAACCAACAAACUAUUUUUCUUCAAUGUUUUUAAAUUAUAAUUGCUUUAGGUUGUACUCAAAAUUUACCUUUUAACACACUUAGUUUCAACAUAAUCCGUUCAAAAUUUUAUGAGUUUCACUUAUAUAAACUAACUUUGUUAUCAAUAGGCCAACAAAACACACAAAGAUAGUCUCUUCACGAAAAAUAUUUUUUUCAUGAAUAAUAUUUUUCAAUAGGAUAACUUUCGUCAUAUCGAGCACUUGUUAGUGACAUUGAAUAUGUGUUCAAAUUAUAACAAACCGUCAUUACAAAACCAUAAUACUCCAUAACCUAUCAAAUGGGUUGGGUCAAAACGAGUUAGGUAGUAGCUUAUAUAACGGGUCAAACCCAAUCCAAUUUAAUUUUUACCAAACUUAAUUAUUUUAUUUGUUUUUAAAACUAUUUUAGUACAUAGUAAAAUUAUUGUUUUCUUUUAUUACAGUUAUAAAUGACAUAUCGAAUUGAAAAAAAAAAUUAAAAAUAUUUUGACUAGAUUUCUCAUGAGUCAAUUUGGUUUACAUAUCAACUCAAUUUUUAAUGAAUUGAGCUAAUGAACGGAUGAGUUAAUAACCCACCCAAACUUAACGGAACGAGCAGGUUGGGUUUCAUUUGUCACCCCUACCUAUAGGCUAAAUAUACCGUAUCAAUACAUUACUUAGACAUGCGGCCAUUUUAAAAAGUAAAAGUUUUUUUUAUCACCUGUAAAAUAUUAGGCAAUAUUUGAAGGUAAUAUAGUUUCAAAAUAAAUACAAUACAUUUCAUACAUAUAAAAAAUCAACACAUUUGUUAAAUGAAGAUUAAAUAUAUAUGCUUAUCUAAAUAUCAUAAGAAACAAAACAAGAAUUUACUAAUAAUUAUCAUUAUAUUAUAUUUAGUGGCAAUAAUAACUAUGAGUAUUUAUAUAAUCAACACUAUAUAUAUGCCGCUAAAAGUUUUAGUGAUUCUAAAUAUAAAGAUAUUAACUCAAUUACUAAAUAUUUAUAUGGUAAUAAAUAUUGUCGUUAAAAAAAUAAUCUAUUACCACAAUAUAUUUCUUUUGUCAGUAUAGUAAUUAAUAAUUGAGUUGAGUGAUCCUUUUUCCACCAGAGAUAAUGACAUGAAUUUAUGCCUAAUUCACAUAAAAAUGAAAAUUCAAUAUUAAAAUGGACAAAUAAAACCUACCCUUUCUCUCUCUGCACCAUAUGCAUACUUUAGAGUUUAAAUCUAUCAACUAUAAAAGUAGGGUGACAAAUAAAUAAAUUGGGUCAAAUUUGAAUGGGUUAGAACGAAUUGAAUUAGAUUACUGAAUGAAUUAUAAUUUAACCUAUUUUGUAAUUGUGCAGUGACAAAAAUAUUUCAAUGAUAUAUAUAUAUAUAUAUUGUAUUGAUGUUGUAUAAAUAGUUAGGUAAUAUAUCGAUAUUGUAUAAAUAAUGUAUAACUUAGUAUAUAUGACUUUUUUCACCACUUAUUUAGUUAUUUAUAAUCAGAAUUACAUCAUUUAUUAUAAUCAGAAUCAAGUAAACAUCGCUUUUUUCAUAUGCUUGAAAAUGAUCCAUACUAGCUAGUGUGAAUUUUCUUUUUAUACGGCACCUUAGUGCUUGUCCACUUUUUCAUGAUUGACAAAAAAAACAAUACUUCCAAAUAUAGUUUUAAAAAGGAAGAAAAUAGGGUAAUCCAAUUAAAUAUCAUAAGUCAUAAUAAUAACAAUUAUAUGCAUUAUUGGCUUCAUUUUUAAUUUUGACAUAAAGUAGAUAUAACUUUAAGCGCUUUUAGCUUUCAUUAAAUUCAAGAAUCAAUUAAUUAACAAUGCUUUUGCAUAUCAAUUUUGAAUUCAUAAGUAUAGUUUGAAAUACUUUUACUCCCUUUAUUUCUAUUUACAUGUCGUCCUUAAUAAAAAUAGGUGUUUCUUAAUAUUUGUUAUUUAAUUAAGACAAUGCAUAAAUGAAACUAUUCUUUCUAUUUUAUCCUUGAGAGUUAUUAGCCUUGAAAAUAUGCAUUUCACCAAUAUAGGAAAAACUAAGUAAAUAAUUCAUGUAUAUUGGUCAAAUUAAUUAAUCAAAAUAAAUAUAUUCAUGUUCAUUGAUUGAAAACUUGACUUUAAGAUAACACUAAAUAAGGUACGUGAAAUCUAAAAUAAUGAUAGCUAAAUUGGAAUGGAGAAAGUAUUAAAGAGGCAAAGUCACAUGAUCAUAUGAUGUUAAAUUGCCUUAUUACUAGGAUACUCUACUUUUCUUCCUUUACAAUGUUAAUGGUAUUUGCAACAAAUUUUAAAGCGAAAGAAAAUAAAUUACAAUCACAAAUAAAAUAUGAAGAAACAUAAUUUAUUGAUUAAGAUAUGUAAGUACAAUUUUGUUCCUCCCUUAUUCUUCUCUCAUAAGAUAUUUAUCCAUGAUUCGAGAGUUGUUAGUGACAUAUUUUUCGAACUAGGAUGAUUUGAAUUUAAUCUCCUUAUGAAUAUUUCAUGAAUUUGUAGAAUAUUCAUGAUGCCUCUUAAAGGGAAUAUAGUGCCCUUUAUAUAGACAUGAGGUAGGGUUUAAGGUUGAGUAGCCUCCAAGAAUCCUAAUUGAAAUUGAACACACCUUGUAGAAUCUCAACUCGAAUUGAACAUCUUGUAGAGUCCCAUAAAUUUUUAAUGUCUACAAGUGGCUUGUGCAAUAAUUAGUCCCUCUAAUCUAAAAUAAUCAUCAUCUUUGGACUUCCAAAUCUUAUUGACAUCCUCGUAGAUUUAACUUAUAGAUGGAUAAAAUGUCAUCACUUUUACUUAAUAGUCAAGUUCGAGUUAGCAAAAUUUAAUAUGAAUACAAGCAUUUUUAUUUAUGUUCUUAAUAGUAAGCGUUUUCCCCUAGUUUAAUAGAUCUUUUAUCCGGUGAUAAUCAAAAUUAACUGGGCGCAACAAAAUAUAAAAAAGAAAAAAACUUGUGCAUAUACUUAUCGCAUAAAGAAUUAUAUUAUUAUUAUUAUUAUUAUUAUUCUUGUUAUUAUUAUUAUUAUUAUUAUUAUUAUUAAUAAUAAUAAUAAUGUACUUUUGAUGAGAAAUAAUUACUUAUGAAAUUUGAUAAGUAUAUGUCUGUUAGUUAAAGUGAGUAAUAAUAUAUAUUAAGUUUGUUGUGGGAAUAUUGUGGGUUAACUAGGAUACAAUUACAAAUAAAGAAAAUAGAGAGAAGAAAAAUAAUACAAGGAUUUAACGAGGUUUUGGCUAGGCCUAACUUCCUUGAUUAAAACAUUUUGUUCAAAGAAAUUUCCCUCAAAAAGUCAAAUACACCCUAUAUAAAGUCAAAUUAAUACUCCCACCAUUUUUAAAAAAAAAGAUCUAUUUUGACUUGGCAUGAAAUUUAAGAAAAUAAAGAAAAAAUUCCAAUCUUGUGGUCCUAAAUUAAAGUUAUGUCAAAGCCCUUUAAUCUUGUAAUCUUAAAUAUGUCACAUGAAAAAUAUAAGUUAAAAUGUUGCUAAAAAAAUGAAAGUAAGUCAUUCUUUUUUAAACAGAAUAAAAAAAGUAAGUCAUUUUUUUUUUAAACUGAUGGAGUAGCUAGUAGCUUUCCUCUUUGGCUUAAUGGCUUAUAUGUAUCACAUUCAAUAACUUCAUCAAAUGAGAGUCACAUUUCUUGCAACUAGCUCUACCUAGUGCUACUACUAUAAUUAAAUACAUACCCCCCACAAAUACCUCUCAAACACAUCACAAAAAAAUAUGGACAUGGAAAUAGAGCAAGAGGGCAACUAUGAUAAGCCUAAGAAACUCAAGAAUUUCAUGUCAAUUAAGUCACUUCUUAUCCUCAUAUAUUCUAUCUUCUUUUCAAUUGGCCAAAUAUCAGGUGCAUUACUUGUUAGAAUUUACUUCUUACAUGGUGGAAAAAGAAAAUGGUUGCAAUCUUUUUUGCUAACAGCAGGGUUCCCAAUCUUGAUUUUACCAAUUUCAAUUUCUUAUAUAAAAAAAAGAAAAAAAUUUACUACUACUAAUAUCAAUAUUAGAGUUUUUGUCACACCUAAAUUAGCAAUAUUUAGUGCUAUUUUAGGCAUACUUCUUGGUAUUUGUAGCUACCUCUACAACUUUGGCAUGUCUUAUCUCCCCAUUUCGAUUUCUUCUCUCCUUGGUUCAACGUCCCUAGCAUUCACCGCGAUUUUCGCGUAUUUCAUGGUGAAACAUAAGUUCACAGAUUAUUCCGUGAACGCGGUGGUGUUGAUGAUGUUAGGGUCGAUUAUAUUAGGGUUACACAUGAAUAGAGAUCGUCCGAUAGGUGAAUCGAAUCGACAAUACACAUUAGGGUUUGUGAUGACACUUGUUGGUGCGGCUCUUCAUGGAUUUGUAAAUGCAGGAGUGGAGUAUAGUCAUGUUAAAGCUGGAGUUGUUGUCACGUUUGAUCUUGUCAUGCAAAUGCAAUUUCUUAUAUCAAUGUUCUCAGCUUUGUUUUGUAUCGUCGCCAUGAUUAUCAAUAAAGAUUUUCAGGUAACCGUCUUUUUUAAAGUUUAAGCCGUUAGAAAAGAAUUAUAGAUAGUCAUAUAUAGUAACGUACGAUAUCCAUUUUAUUUUAGCAUUUUACUUAUAUAAACUAGUAAAUUAGAAGUAUAUAUAAAUUUUAUAUUACAAGUGUAAUUUAAUCUACUAUAACAUGUUAUUUAUCUUAUAUGAGAAAUUAAAUAGUCUAGCAAAGGAAACAUUAUAUAACAAUUUUUAAAAUAGUUAAAAGAAUUUAAAUUCAUAAAAGUCGUGAAAACACUAUAUAAAGUAGUACAAUUGCUUCGUUCUGCUUUAUGUGAUAUACUUUAUGUGAUAUAUUUUGAAUUGACCAUGAUGACGAAACUUACCAAAGAAAUGAAGAUUUCUAAAAUGAAAAAGGAAGAAAGAAUUCGAGUUAACAAUGACACGAACUUUCUUUCUCUUUAUAAGAGUGAUCACUUAAAAAAAAACUUCUUUUUUUUGUGUGGUUAAGAAAAAAAGCCUGCUUUUCAAAAGAUAAUCAAGCAGCGUCAAUGACAAGAACUUUUUUAUUUACAAGAGUGAAAAAGAAAUUUUAUGUAAUUAUAAAUGGGAUAUGUUAGCGAUUUAUCUUUCUUUUUAGUCCGUUUAUACAAAAUAUCUUCUUCUCUAUAUUCAAUAAUUCUUUAAUUAAUUCCAAUAUUUUACAUGACUUUUUUUAAAAUCAGAAAGAUUCAAAGGGCAUUUUUGAUACAUUACAUAUAUGUAUGCAUCUUCAAUUUAAGACCACAAAGUUAAAAGAUCUCUUUUUAGUUUUCUAAAAUUUCAUGCAUAGUCAAACUACGACGCUUAAAUUAACAUCGAGAAAGUAUUUUUUUCUUUAAGAGUUUAAGAUAUAUACGUCAUCCAUGUAAAUCAUAUGCACGCAACACCAUCAGAUCAUGUUACAUGUUAUAGCAUGUAACCUGUUUUAUUUGCAUGCAAGAUUACAAAUCUCACAUCUUAAGGAUGUCUGUCUAGCUAUAAAUAUUCUUUGAAUAACCUGAGAGUGUAAGAAAAUCUUUUUAACAAUAUGUAGGCCAUCACUAGAGAAGCUGAAGAAUUUGGAUUAGGGGCAAAAAAAGUACUAUAUGAUAUUAGCAUUAACAGCAAUAUCUCUACAAACUAUGAUGAUUGGAAGUCUUGGGGAUGAUUUUCUGCUCCUCAGCACUAUUGUUUGGGAUAGUAAAAUGCACUUCUUAUUCCAAUACAACAAUAUUUGCUGUCAUUUUCUUGCCUGAAAGCUUCAAUUCUGAUAAGUGGAUGGCUUUAGCUAUGUGUCUUUGGGGUUUUGCUUUCUUAUUUCUAUGGAGAAUAUAAAGAUAGCAUGACCAACAAGGUUACAAAAAAUAAACAUGCUACCCUGCCAGACCAAGUUUGAAUAACAUUAAUGUUACUUUUUCUGUAUUCAGUGGUGUACGCAGAAUUUUAUGUAGUAAGUAAUUUAUUAGUAUUACAACUCUGUCAGUAUGGGAGUUUGGGUCGUCUUGGAUUGUGGAGUUCUUUUAAGAUUUUUAUUUUCGAUUGUAAAUUGAUGCAUGUUUAUUUCGAUUACUUUUUAAACGAUGUCAGCAUGUUGAGUAUGUAUAGUGUGGCGGAGCCAGAAAUUUUGAAACAAAUUGUAUUUCAUGCUCCAUUUUGUUUUUAUCUUGCAAUACAGUGUAGACAUUCUUUUUCUGGCAUUGUGUAGCGACCGAUUGUUAAUGCCUGGUAUUCGAAUAUUUGUUUGAGGCAUUUUAUAUAUUUUUUUUAUUCUGAAAAAAAAAGGACAUCUUAUGUUUUUGAACAGAUAACCAUCUUUUGAUAAUAUAGUCUCCUCCGUCCCUUGGGACUAACAAGGAAUACUAUAGAAAUAUUCAGAUGUUGUCCAUCAACUACGCCUUUCGGCCUGAUCUUAAGCCAAUGAACAAAUCGAAAAAGAAAUCUUUAUUGGUCUACCUCCUAUUUUUUAUAUAUGAAGAGAAUGAAUCUUUUUUCUUGAAUGAUCAGAAAAAAAUGAGUUCAGAUCUCCUGCUGGAAUAAUUUUGUCGGAGUUUAUUUAUUGCAUGAAACAACUCGCAAUAUGGGUCUAGCUAUAGAAAUUCUCUUUCGUUAUAUGAUUUCUUCUUCAUAUAGAUAUAUAUAGAAUCUAUGAAGUACAUUUUGUGCUAUAACCCUUCCUAUCUGAUUGAAAAUGAUCCCAUGAUUCUGAACUGGUUUUACCUGGGGUUGCAAAUCUCAAGUUUGUCUAUGAAGAGCGGAUCUAAUUGUAUUAAUGUCUAUAAUACUAAUCGAUAGGACCUCAUUGGUAAGUGUAUAUUUUAUAAAUAAUUAUAUACUGUAUGAAUACUCCCUUCAUCCCAUGUUAGAUGGACAUCUUACUGAAAAUAUUCGUCUCAUAUUACUUGAUCACUUACUAAAUCAAAAUAGAAUUAAUUAAAAAAUUUUGUUUUAUCCCUACAAUUAAUAUGACUUUUGGAAGUUUAAAUAAAUUUUAAAGAUCUAUUUUUUAAGAGGCUAAUUAAUAUGAACAAAGGACAAAAUGGUAAAAUUGAUCAAUGUAUUAUUGAUUUCUUAAUCACCAUGUUAAAUAGAAAGCGUUCAUUUAAUAUGAAACAAAUGGAGUAAUAUAUAAAUAUAAUGUAUAACCAAAUAUAUAGAUGAUGUAUGUAAUUAAUAAAUUUUGUAUUGCUGAUGUACAUACAUCCAUCCUGGGGUCAAUAAAACUACACUCCUGAUGGGUUUGUACUUGAAGUUUCACCUUAUCGAUAAACAAAUUGAUUUUAAUUCAAUCCCCUUUCCUAUUUUCCCAACCACAAUAAAUAAAUAAAGUAGUAGAAGAAAAAACCAUUAUCUGGAUUACAUGGUGAGGCAAAUUAAAGGAACAAUUAAGCUUAAGAAUUACACAACUUAUUUAUAAUCGCAAUCAAGUAAACAUCACUUUUUUCAUAUGCUUGAAAAUGAUCGGUUCGGUUUUAUAUAUUAUUGAUUUGGUUUAUCGGUUUUCAGUUUUUAAAUACAUUAAACCAAUAACCAAAUCCAUAAGAUAUUUUUUAUCGGUUUCGAUUUAUCGAUUUUUGUUCUUAACGGUUCGGUUUUCGGUUUAACCAAGAAAAUACUUAUAAAACAAAUAUGUGAUUUCUCUCUAAAUUUGGCGCGACAAUACAACAGUGUAACUUUACAAAUGCUCAUAAAAUAGAAACAAUAAUAAGAAAAACCUAAAAAGAGCUAUACAAGUGUAACACAAAGAGAAAUUAAGAGCAAUAUGAUUCUUACUUUAGGUUCUGACAUUUUGUAUAAUGAGAUGCUGUAAACUCAAAGUCACUGUGAAGUGUGAAUUAAAGGCUAUAGGACAAAAAAAUAACUAGUAAGAUAUUAAAAUUGAUAUUUAAUAUUUAUGUACAAGUAAAAGUAGUAAAUUACUAGUCUUAAUGAGUUAUUGGUUUACCCAAUAACCUAAUAUUAAAAACAAAUACCAAACUAAUAACCCAAUAAUUUUUUUUUAUAAAACCAUUAAAAAUCGUUAAUCCAAUAACAAUAAACCAAUAACAUUUUUUCGAUUCGAUUUCCCCGUGUAAAUUUCUUUUUCAUAUGGCACCUUAGUGCUUGUCCACUUUUUCACAAUUGACAAAAAAAUAAUUCAAAUAUAAGUUUUAAAAAAUAGGGCAAUCCAAAAUAUCAUAACAAUAUCAAUAAGCAUGAUUGGCUUCAUUUUUACUUUUGACAAAAAGUGGAUUCAUCAUUAAACACUUUUAACUUUCAUUAAUUUCAAGAAUCAAUUAUGCUUUUGUAUAUUAAUAUUGAAUUCGUAAGUAUAGUUUGAAUAAUUUUUAUUAAAUUAAAGAUGCUAAGUCACACAAUCAUAUGAUGUUAUACUGCCUUAUUACUCUAGGACUAGCUAAGAUCAUAUACACUCUACUUUUCUUCCUAUACAAUAAUGUUAGUGGCUUGUGCAACAACUAGAAUCUCUAUUCUAUAAUAAUAAUAAUAAUAAUAAUAAUAAUCCUUUAGGACUUUCAAUAUUGACAUCCUCGUAGAUUUAAGUUGUACUAUAUUAUCAAAGAUGGUGGUGAAAUGGAUAGAAUAUAUUCUACUCUUAACUAAAGGAGCUAAAUCCAAGGAUCUUAUUCCACCUUAUUCUUCACUAUUCUUAAUUAAUAAUCUCAAAUUUGAGUCUAAAACUGGAGAAGUUUAUGCUAGAGAACACUUACCUAAGACCUGAUUAAGGAUGAACCAGUCCACCACCGCAACACAACCCAUGUCGGUAUGUUUAAGUGUUAGUUAAAAUGAGUAGUAUGAAGUUAGAAUUUGAUAUAGUUAUCAGAAAAUAGACUUUCAUAAAAAAAAAAAAAAAAUCUCGUCGUACCAAAUACUAGAAAACAAUUUCCUUUAAAAACAUUUUCGCUCAAAAGACAAAUACACCUCAAUCUAAAGUCACUUUAACUUAUAUGUACCACUAAUAAACAUACACCUAGAAAUUAAUAUCUCUCUCACACAUUCACAAAAAAAUAUGGACAUGGAAAUUGAGCAAGAGGGCAACUACAAUAAGCCUAAGAAACUCAAGAAUUUCAUGUCAAUUAAGACACUUCUUAUUCUCAUAUAUUGUAUCUUCCUUUCAGUUGGCCAAAUAUUAGGUGUAUUGCUUGUUAGAAUUUAUUAUUUACAUGGUAGGAAAAAGAAAAUGGUUGCAAUCUUUAUUGCUAACAGUAGGAUUCCCAAUCUUGAUUAUACCAAUUUCAAUUUCUUAUGUCAAAAAAAAGACAAAAAAAUACCAAUAACAAUAAUAUUAGAUUUUUUGUCACAC